rnacentral:lncRNA from 1 species
GGGAGCUACCUGUAAAGAAGCAGGGGAGGAGAAACAGCCAGCAGGAGGAUAGCUGACACCCACAGAACUCCCUUUGAUGUGAUAAAAAGUACAGCCAGCUUUGAGGAGUAUAGGCAAGUAAGAAUCCAAACAGCCUUUGAUCCAAUGCGGUUGUCCACGGAAAGUCUCUACAGCCAGCUUUGAGGAGUAUAGGCAAGUUAGAAUCCAAACAGCCUUUGAUCCAAUGCGGUUGUCCACGGAAAGUCUCCUCACAACCGCCAAACCAACAAAAGUAGUUAAGACAACCAUAUAACUUGGGUACAUCACAUCAUCCUCCAACCCAUAAUAGU